rnacentral:rRNA from 1 species
AGGACAAACGCUGGCGGCGUGUAUUAGGCAUGCAAGUCGAGCGAGAAGCUGACCUUCGGGUUGGCGGACAGCGGCGGACGGGUGAGUAACACGUGGAUAACCUACCUAGUAGUGGGGAACAACUCGCCGAAAGGCGGGCUAAUACCGCAUAACACUCCCGGUGAGAUUCCGGGCAGUAAAAGCUUCGGCGCUACUAGACGGGUCUGCGGUCGAUUAGUUUGUUGGUGGGUAACGGCUCACCAAGGCGACGAUCGAUAGCUGGUCUGAGAGGAUGAUCAGCCACACGGGGACUGAG